UACGUAGGGUGCAAGCGUUGUCCGGAAUUAUUGGGCGUAAAGAGCUCGUAGGCGGUUUGUCGCGUCUGCUGUGAAAACCUGAGGCUCAACCUCGGGCUUGCAGUGGGUACGGGCAGACUAGAGUGCGGUAGGGGUGACUGGAAUUCCUGGUGUAGCGGUGGAAUGCGCAGAUAUCAGGAGGAACACCGAUGGCGAAGGCAGGUCACUGGGCCGCAACUGACGCUGAGGAGCGAAAGCAUGGGGAGCGAACGGG
rnacentral:rRNA from 1 species